rnacentral:rRNA from 1 species
CUGCUGCCUCCCGUAGGAGUCUGGGCCGUGUCUCAGUCCCAGUGUGGCCGUCCGCCCUCUCAGGCCGGCUACUGAUCGUCGCUUUGGUAGGCCGUUACCCUGCCAACUGGCUAAUCAGACGCGGGCCCAUCCUGUACCACCGGAGUUUUCAGGGAAAAGCCAUGCGGCUUCCCCCGUUAUGCGGUAUUAGCACCUAUUUCUAAGUGUUAUCCCCCUGUACAGGCCAGGUUGCCCACGCGUUACUCACCCGUCCGCCACUCA